rfam:Peptoniphilus sp. oral taxon 375 str. F0436 noncontiguous_finished_chromosome, whole genome shotgun sequence.
GAGAAUCUUCAGGGCGAGGUGCAAUUCCUCACCGGUGGUUAAAGUCCACGAGUCGCAAGACUGAAUCGGUGUAAUUCCGAUACCGACGGUAUAGUCCGGAUGAAAGAAGGAUCUU